UCAAGUUAAAAAGAGCACUAGGAGAAUGCCUAGGCACCAAGAGGCGAAGAAGGACGCGAUAAGCUGCGAAAAGCUACGGUAAGGAGCAAAUAUCUAAUGACCCGUAGAUGUCCGAAUGGGGAAACCCACCUCGAAGAGGUAUCCUAUAGCCAAUCAAUAACUAUAGGAAGCGAACCAGGUGAACUGAAACAUCUAAGUAACCUGAGGAAAAGAAAGAAAACUCGAUUCCCCAAGUAGCGGCGAGCGAACAGGGAAGAGCCCGAAGUGUAAAAAGAGAAAAUAGCCAGCCGAAUCCUCUGGGAAGAAGAACCAAAGAAGGUAAGAGUCCUGUAGGCGAAAGCGAAAAUAUCCGACACAAAAGAGUACCACGGAACACGAGAAAUUCAGUGGGAACAUGGGGGGACCACCCCCUAAGGCUAAAUACUACUUGGUGACCGAUAGCGAACAAGUACCGUGAGGGAAAGGUGAAAAGAACCCCGAGAGGGGAGUGAAAAAGAAUCUGAAACCUAGUGUUUACAAGCAGCGAAAGUGGUUUAGGACCACGAUCGUGUACUUUUUGUAGAACGGGCCAGCGAGUUACGAUUAUUAGCAAGGUUAAACAUUAAAGAUGUGGAGCCGCAGCGAAAGCGAGUCUAAAUAGGGCAGAAGUUAAUAGUUGUAGACCCGAAACCGUGUGAUCUAUCCAUGGGCAGAGUGAAGUUGAAGUAAAAUUCAAUGGAGGCUCGAACCGGGUAGCGUUUAAAAGCUAUCGGAUGACCUGUGGAUAGGGGUGAAAAGCCAAACGAACACGGAGAUAGCUGGUUCUCCUCGAAAUAGCUUUAGGGCUAGCCUCUAGUGGAAAUGUGAAAAGGGGGUAGAGCACUGAAUGGUCGCGGGGCAUGCAUAUGUUACCAAGACCUAUCAAACUCCGAAUACCAUAUCACACACUAGGGAGUCAGACUAUGUGGGAUGAGCUUCAUAGUCGAAAGGGAAAGAGCCCAGACCAUCAGCUAAGGUCCCAAAAUUAUAGUUAAGUGGGAAAGGAUGUGGAGUUACUGAGACAACUAGGAUGUUGGCUUAGAAGCAGCCAUUCAUUCAAAGAGUGCGUAAUAGCUCACUAGUCAAGUGACUCUGCGCCGAAGAUAACCGGGGCUAAACUAUAUACCGAAGCUAUGGAACGUAUAACGUUGGUAGAGGAGCAAUGUAUGAAGGACGAAGCAGAAGUCGUAAGGCACUGUGGACAUCAUACAAGAGAGAAUGCUGGCAUGAGUAGCGAGAGGUGAGUGAGAAUCUCACCCGUCGAAAACCCAAGGAUUCCUGAGCAAGGCUCGUCCACUCAGGGUAAGUCGGGACCUAAGGCGAGGCUGAAAAGCGUAGUCGAUGGACAACAGGUGGAAAUUCCUGUACCGAUACAAUCGUUAAAAAGGAAGUGGGGACGCAGGAGGAAAGUAAGAGCGCCCAGUUGGUGAGGCGUGCAAGCGCAAAGUCUGGAAAGUAGGCAAAUCCGCUUUCCGAGAAGGAUGAAGCGUGAUGCGGAUCGAAAACAAGUAGAGAAGCUUACAGACCCACACUGCCAAGAAAAGCCACUACAAGAGAAGUAUCGCCCGUACCGUAAACCGACACAGGUAGGUGAGGAGAGAAUCCUAAGACGAGCGGAAAAACCUUUGUUAAGGAACUCGGCAAAAUGACCCCGUAACUUCGGGAGAAGGGGAGCCCCUGUAACAGGGGGCCGCAGUGAAAAGGCCCAAGCGACUGUUUACCAAAAACACAAGUUUCUGCAAAGUCGAAAGACGAAGUAUAGGAGCUGACACCUGCCCGGUGCUGGAAGGUUAAGGGAAAAAGUUAGCGCAAGCGAAGCUUAGAACUGAAGCCCCAGUAAACGGCGGCCGUAACUAUAACGGUCCUAAGGUAGCGAAAUUCCUUGUCGGGUAAGUUCCGACCCGCACGAAAGGCGUAAUGAUUUGGGCACUGUCUCAAC
rnacentral:rRNA from 1 species